rnacentral:rRNA from 1 species
GUCCACAGCCAUACCACCCUGAACACUCCCAAUCUUGUCUGAUCUCAGAAGCUAAGCAGGGUCAGGUCUGGUUAGUACUUGGUUGGGAGGAAAUGAGGUCUGGAAACUGUAACUU